rnacentral:misc_RNA from 1 species
AAGUCGUAACAAGGUUUCCGUAGGUGAACCUGCGGAAGGAUCAUUAACACGUAUCCACGUAUCAACCAACCGUGCACUGUUGUCACUCUCCCUGCCGGACAUGACUUGACUCGGGUGCAUUCUAUGAUAGGAGGGCGUUCGCGCACUCAAUGCACACCGACACUGCGCGCCUGUGACAGUACACUAGUACCACACAGGCGAGCGACAAGUGGACUCACGCGCAGGCACACACUCACUACCCCUGGUGCCAUCAUAGCAAGGGAUAGUGGGAAUUACACUAUUCACCUAUUUCACACCCUUUUUGCUAGUUGACUUUUAUAUGUUGUCUCAGCUUUCCUACGGAAACUGACACACACGUUUAUUAUUUGAACGUUAAAAUUACAACUCUUAGCAAUGGAUAUCUUGGUUCUC